UACGUAGGGUGCGAGCGUUGUCCGGAAUUAUUGGGCGUAAAGAGCUUGUAGGCGGUUUGUCGCGUCUGCUGUGAAAAUCCGGGGCUCAACCCCGGACUUGCAGUGGGUACGGGCAGACUAGAGUGCGGUAGGGGAGAUUGGAACUCCUGGUGUAGCGGUGGAAUGCGCAGAUAUCAGGAAGAACACCGAUGGCGAAGGCAGAUCUCUGGGCCGUAACUGACGCUGAGGAGCGAAAGCAUGGGGAGCGAACAGG
rnacentral:rRNA from 1 species